CGCUUGCUCGUGCUCGUCUCAGCAAGCAUUGCAAGAAAGCAAACGAAAUAGCGGCUUUGUGACGAUACUAUUGCGCGAAAGCGUCGCUGGCGGCGAAAUCCACACGGUGUCCUAUAUGACGCUGCGCCUUUAUCGUAUUUUUCAACCCGGACCCCUCUUAAAUAACGAAAAUUACCAAAAUAAAUUAAAAUGUCGGCGACACCGCUCCCGCGUUGUGUCUACGUCAUAAUCACAUAGUGUAUGGGAAGCGUGUUCCCGCUCGUACUCUCGAGCGUGCCUUUUUCGUUUUAGUCGCUGUCCGGUCAGUCAUGAGUUUUCUGUGCGCGAUCGGCAAAGUGCCAGCAAAAGUGCGCGGGAUAUCGAUUCGAGUAUGAUUCGCGGCCUUCUUACGCACCGCGACGCACGUUGACCGGCUCUUAUCGCACCGAGCGUUCUAUAUCGCCAGUCGACCACACACCCGUGAAUAGCGGCUGUCUAAUACCCCUUCCCUAACUACAGAGUAAUCGCUAUCAAUGGUGAAGCAGCCAAAACAGUGGCACGAUGGUGCUCCCGCCAUCGCGGUGGUCCAAGCGGUCACCAUUCCCGUUUCCGGCAGAUCGAGGAAGUGUGAGCGAAGAAAGCGCCUUUUUCGCCCCCAAGUCCUGAGAAUGCUGUCGCAAAAGCAGGCGGAAGCAAAUUCGGAAAGUGAAACUGGACCCAGUGGAAGUGGAGCAGUCACUCCAGGAAGCUUUCCUAAUGGAGAAGGUUCGAAAGAGUUCCUGUCGACUGGAAGAACUGGAAGAAGAAAUGCGAUGCCAGAUAUUCUUGGGCAGCAUGCAGAAACCGGGACAGCUGAUUUGCCAGCUAGGCUGGAAGCCCUUACAACUAACGUAGAUCAUGAUCAGCCCAGCACCAGCGGAAUCGGCAAAAGUGAAGGACUUUCUUCACAGCAGCACAAGGCUUGACGGAUUUGCAGCUUCGAACAAAUAUUUUUCAAUAGCCCUUUCCAGAACUAAUUCUAAAACUAAAUUCCACCAAUGCGAAAUGGAAAAUGAUAAAGGAGAAAGAAAAGAAGAAAGGCUGAUAAUAAUCAAGAUCAGACAUUAUUUCACAUUGAACUGGUGUAUUAUAAAUGUAAAUACUUUUAUGACCAAAUUUCUAAAGGGCCGGUCGAUUUUUCGAAGACUUCCAAUCUAUGAUUUAUCUUGGAUUAUAUAGAAGUCUUUGGAAUCCUUCAUUCGAAUUUCGUUCCUUCGAUUUGGCCGCCCGCCUAAUUUAUAACUUACUGUCUCUCUAAAAAAUGCAAGCCGAAUUAUUGCUAAUUUUGGACAAUAGAGAGAAAUGGAUUAAUCGAAAAGUAAGUUUCGAUUGAAAAUCUACAUUUUCGAUUGAUAAAAUCAAUUUCUCUCGAGUAGACUCAUAUACAUGUUCGUCGUUAAGCGGCACACGUACGAAAAACCUUUUAGGAUACUAAGUUCUUGUACAUAGUUCGAAACUUUUCCUUUUACAGGAUUCGGUAAGGAUCGAUAAUUAUCAUUUUACAUCGCAUUCGAAACGACUAGCUCUUCUACGACAUAUUUGAUUUUUUUGUAAAUAGUUCAAUAAGUUGCUGAGUGAAUUUAUGAAGUGUACAUAAAAUAAGAAACCGAGAAGGAAGAGAUGUGUCAUUGCGAAAAAUUUGAGAUUUUUGAUUUUAAAUGAAAGAAGAAAAGACGAAAAUCUGGAGUCAUUAUUAAAUAACUUUUGUUUGGAAUAUUCGUAUUUUUAAAGAUUUUUUUGUUACAAUCUCAACUUUUUGGCAAUGACCCAGAUAAAUAUUGGAAGACAUUUUAUAACUUUUUGUGGAAAGGGAAUCUCUUGAGGAAAUAAGUCGUUUAAUCUUGAGAUCAUUUCAUAUCAACGUCUCUCUCAUUAAUUUUGUUUGUGAUCUGUCUCUCGAAUUCUCUCAUUAACUAGAUCUAUUCAAAAGCAUUGAAGCUUGAUCAGUAUUCAUUUAGUUCUAUUAUGUGUUAUUGUCUCUGUAAAUUUCAUUCGCGUUAUUUAUAUGCCAUCGAAGACAAAGCUUUAUUUAGUACAUUUUGCGAAACAGCUUCACUCGAUUAUCAUUUACAGAUUUUAUUUACAGGGUGUCGAUCACGCACUAAGAAAUCUGAGAGUUUUUCUUAAUGAAAUUGGGACAUAUUAACAAAGAAUUCUUAUUUUUGUAAAUUAUUUAAAUAUUUGUUGUAUUCUGUUUUAAUAUUUUCAAUAGCUUAAAAAAAGAGAACAUCACAAACUAUAAGAAGAUUUUAUUGUGGAAGAUCACAUGGGUAUUUAUGAGUAAAACAGUUUCUUUUCUGUAUUUAAAAUUGAAAUUUAUGAAGAAACGAUUUAUGAUAUCAAAACAGUGCAUGACAAAAUUAUAUAAUUUUUUAAAGAAAUGUAGUCGAAAUUUUGUAAUCAGAAACUUCCGAAUAUAGAAUUUCGUAUUUGUUAACCUACACUUUUCAUUUUAACAGUUACUUGUGCAAACGGCUUAUUUUUAAUUUUUUAAUAUUUUAAAUCAUAUUUAAUUCUGAACUCUCAACAUUUCAAAUUGUGUAAUUGUUAAUAUUUCAAUUGGAAGUUCACCAGAUUUUUAUGAAUAAAAUUAUACAUUUUUAUUUAAUAUCUUGUAAAGUUUAAAAUUUGAA